UACGGAGGAUGCGAGCGUUAUCCGGAUUUAUUGGGUUUAAAGGGUGCGUAGGCGGCUUAGUAAGUCAGCGGUGAAAUUUUGCAGCUUAACUGUAACAGUGCCGUUGAUACUGCCAGGCUAGGAUUUGGUUGCUGUGGGUGGAAUGUGUGGUGUAGCGGUGAAAUGCUUAGAUAUCACACAGAAUAUCGAUUGCGAAGGCAUCUCACAAAGCCAAGAUUGACGCUGAGGCACGAAAGUGUGGGGAUCAAACA
rnacentral:rRNA from 1 species